GACGAACGCUGGCGGCGUGCUUAACACAUGCAAGUCGAACGGAAAGGCCCUGCUUUUGUGGGGUGCUCGAGUGGCGAACGGGUGAGUAACACGUGAGUAACCUGCCCUUGACUUUGGGAUAACUUCAGGAAACUGGGGCUAAUACCGGAUAGGAGCUCCUGCUGCAUGGUGGGGGUUGGAAAGUUUCGGCGGUUGGGGAUGGACUCGCGGCUUAUCAGCUUGUUGGUGGGGUAGUGGCUUACCAAGGCCUUGACGGGUAGCCGGCCUGAGAGGGUGACCGGCCACAUUGGGACUGAGAUACGGCCCAGACUCCUACGGGAGGCAGCAAUGGGGAAUAUUGCACAAUGGGCGGAAGCCUGAUGCAGCAACGCCGCGUGCGGGAUGACAGCCUUCGGGUUGUAAACCGCUUUCGCCUGUGACGAAGCGUGAGUGACGGUAAUGGGUAAAGAAGCACCGGCUAACUACGUG
rnacentral:rRNA from 1 species